rnacentral:RNase_P_RNA from 1 species
CAGGUCAGUCAGGUGCGCGCGCUUGUAAAAGUGAGGAAAGUCCGUACACCACAGAGCAGAAUGCCAGGUAAUCCCUGGGAGGGCGUAAGCUUUCGGAUCGGGCCACAGAAACAAACCGCUCGCAAGAGUAAGGUUGAAAAGGUGGUGUAAGAGACCACCGCAAUGCCGGUAACGGUUUUUGGCAAGGUAACCCCCAUUCGGUGCAAGGUCAAACAGGAAAAAGAGCCUGCUCGGCUCGUCUGAUUUCCGGGUAGACCGCAUGAGGUGGCUGGUGACAGUCAUUCGAGAUAGAUGCGCAUCCGCGACAAAAUACGGCUUAUCGGUUGACCUGAGUU